rnacentral:rRNA from 1 species
UAGUCCACGCCGUAAACGAUGAGAACUAGACGUUGGGUUCAUUUAAGAACUUAGUGUCGUAGCUAACGCGUGAAGUUCUCCGCCUGGGAAGUAUGCUCGCAAGAGUGAAACUCAAAGGAAUUGACGAGGGCCCGCACAAGCGGAGGAACAUGUGGUUUAAUUCGAUGAUACGCGAGGAACCUUACCUGGGCUUAAAUGUACGGCGACCGGUCUAGAGAUAGACCUUUCUUCGGACGACGUACAAGGUGCUGCAUGGUUGUCGUCAGCUCGUGCCGUGAGGUGUCGGGUUAAGUCCCAUAACGAGCGCAACCCCUAUCUUUAGUUGCUAACAGGUUAAGCUGAGGACUCUAGAGAGACUGCCACCGUAAGGUGAGAGGAAGGUGGGGAUGACGUCAAAUCAGCACGGCCCUUAUGUCCAGGGCUACACACGUGUUACAAUGGUCAGUACAAAGGGCAGCUACCUGGCGACAGGAUGCUAAUCUCUAAAACUGGUCUCAGUUCGGAUCGGAGUCUGCAA